ACUAAGACCGCAUAAAGAGGACUGAGUGAGGAAAUAGAAAGAAGAAAUACUUUUGAAGGAAGAAAAAAUUUGCUGGGAUA
rnacentral:lncRNA from 1 species